rnacentral:rRNA from 1 species
AUUGAACGCUGGCGGAAUGCUUUACACAUGCAAGUCGAACGGUAGAGGGGGCAACCCCUCGAGAGUGGCGAACGGGUGAGUAAUAUAUCGGAACGUGCCCAGUCGUGGGGGAUAACGUAGCGAAAGUUACGCUAAUACCGCAUACGAUCUAAGGAUGAAAGCGGGGGAUCGCAAGGCCUCGCGCGAUUGGAGCGGCCGAUAUCAGAUUAGGUAGUUGGUGGGGUAAAGGCUCACCAAGCCAACGAUCUGUAGCUGGUCUGAGAGGACGACCAGCCACACUGGAACUGAGACACGGUCCAGACUCCUACGGGAGGCAGCAGUGGGGAAUUUUGGACAAUGGACGCAAGUCUGAUCCAGCCAUCCCGCGUGCAGGAUGAAGGCCCUCGGGUUGUAAACUGCUUUUGUACGGAACGAAAAGGUCUCUCUUAAUACGGGGGGCUCAUGACGGUACCGUAAGAAUAAGCACCGGCUAACUACGUGCCAGCAGCCGCCGUAA